AGCUCCAAUAGCGUAUAUUUAAGUUGCUGCGGUUAAAAAGCUCGUAGUCGGAUUUCGGGUGGCACCUACCGGUCCGCCUUUGGUGUGUACUGGUGGGCGCUACCUUUCUGCCGAGGACAGGCUCGUGGGCUUUACUGUCUGGGGUCUGGAGUCGGCGACGUCACUUUGAGUAAAUUAGGGUGUUUAAAGCAGGCGUAUGCUCUGAAUACACUAGCAUGGGAUGACACGAUAGGACUUCGGUCUAUCUUGUCGGUCUGUAGGCUGGAGUAAUGAUUAAGAGGGACAGUCGGGGGCAUUCGUAUUCCGUAGUCAGAGGUGAAAUUCUUGGAUUUAUGGAAGACGAACUUCUGCGAAAGCAUUUGCCAAGGAUGUUUUCA
rnacentral:rRNA from 1 species